UCCAAUUAUAACUCGCGGUUCUCAAAUUGUUCGCAACUUGUUCUCAGUUAUUUACAGCAGCAGUAUUUGAUCGAAAAAUUUCUUUACUGUGAUCCUCGUUUCGCUGAUCUCGUCUAAAUUAAUCGGAGUUCUCGAUGUCGUCUCCUGGCGAGUAUUAUAAUUCUCUUCCACCAGUAACUAAGGCCUAUGGGACCUUGUGUUUUUUGACUACUGUUGUGUGUCAAUUGGGACUACUUGAUCCUAUUAGCAUUGCUCUAUAUUAUCCAUGGGUGUUUAAGAAUCUCCAGGUUUGGAGGUUAUUCACAUGCUUUUUCUUCUUGGGAAAUUUUUCUAUCAACUUUGGAAUUCGUCUUCUCAUGAUAGCAAGAUAUGGGGUGCAGCUGGAGAAAGGCCCAUUUGACAAGCGGACAGCAGACUUUUUGUGGAUGAUGAUAUUUGGAGCAUUCUCUUUACUGGUGCUGUCUGUCAUCCCUUUUUUUUCGAGUGGAUUCUUAGGGAUAUCCUUGGUCUUCAUGAUGCUUUAUGUAUGGAGCAGAGAAUAUCCCAAUGCUCAGAUCAACAUAUAUGGACUUGUCAGUUUGAAGGCGUUUUAUCUGCCUUGGGCAAUGCUUGCAAUGGAUGUUAUCUUUGGUUCGCGUCUGGGUCCUGAUCUUAUGGGAAUCAUCGCUGGACAUCUCUAUUACUUCUUGACUGUUCUGUACCCACUUUCUGGAGGAAGGAAUCUUCUGAAGACUCCAAUCUGGGUUCACAAGUUGGUGGCUCGCUGGGGAGUGGGAGUGCAGACAAACGCCCCUAUUCGGCCUAACACUGCUGCAUCUACCGGUGCCUUCAGAGGCAGGAGCUACAGACUCAACAGAUGAAACAAGCUAAACAAUCUGCAGUGAUAUCUCACAAUAAGCUGCUUCUCUUGAUUUGGCUGAUAUUUGUUGCAUGCAGAUUUUCUUCGAUAAAUGAAAUGAAGGAAUGGAGUCUGUAUUUACUCUUUGUUCAAAUUUGAUGGUUUUGCGGUUAAGAAGAAUCGUACCUGAAGGAGUCUAAACAUGAUAGGGAUUACAUAGGCUGCUUGUAUAAUCAUGCCAGAUGUUUCAAAUCCUGCCAUGUGAUUCUGUUGGAGCUGGAAGCUUAGAUAGAAACCUGUAAAGCUGAAGUUUGAACUGUCAAAAGAGGGUUUACGCUCUGUAAACAAUGUGCACCAAUUCUCUUUAACUCCAGACGGUAUUACUAGGUGCUUACCUUUAACUAUGCACUGUUUAAUUGUAAGGUAAACACUAUGAUGUUUCGGAUGUAUGUCAUUGCAAAUUCUUGUAUUAUCUCUGUUCUUGUUUAGUUAUUAGAAGUCAAAGCUCAGAAAUGAGCCGCUUAA